CUAGCUACAUUCCAGAGUUUCUUCCCAUUUAUGGAUUGUAGUGAGCUUAGAUAUUCUUCCAAGCUUGUUAUCAUAAAAAAUAACCACAUGCAGAUUGGUGGAAUGGCAAGUUGUCAACUUCCAAGCCAAACCCAAAGGCAUAUUGAAUCUUUGUGUUUCAGGAUAUAAUGAGUUCAGGUUUGCAUCUUUACUUGUUAAGAGGCUUCUUUGCCAGACUCGUUAUUUAAGGGACUUCCAUUGGCUUGCUUUUCCUGAGGAACAUGCACGCAAUUUGUAACUCGUAAAACUCUGGGCGUCAAUUCUAAAUGCUAACAGUGGAGGAAUACAAACACGCACACAGGUACCUUGUAAUUCUCAAUUCAAGAAGUUUGUCUAGUACUACUAAUGGUUAGAUACAAGCUUGAUGUGUCUACUAUAUGCUCAUUCUUUUCAACUCAAACAAACUUAUAAUUCAGACUCACCUUAAUCUUUUAAUGCAUUGCUGAAGCUAAAGUACAAAAUCAAAAACCAAAAAGAAACAGUUCAUAGAGUUCUACUCAUCAUGGUUAUGUAAAUAACAUACUGCCCCUAGUUGCUAUAUUAUACUCAAUAAAAAUUUCAAAGGUAAGAAGAGAGUCGGGUUGUCGGGGCCAAUCCAAGGUUGUAGCAAAAUUCAAUGGUGAGAAAUGAGACUGCUUUAAAAAUCUUAUGGCCUUUCAUAACUUAUUUUCUGAUGUGUUAAAAUUCCCUCAGGUGCCAUCAUCAGCUACAGUACACAUAUACAGAUCAUUUCAACUGGAAGAGGCAACUUCAAGAACAGACCUUUGAUAUGGGACGCGGUGGUCUGGAAUCC
rnacentral:lncRNA from 1 species